rnacentral:tRNA from 1 species
GAGGGAGGGUUCAACCAGCAGGAACUGCUAACUCUUGCAUCUGAGCAUAAAACCUCAGCCCCCUUA